rnacentral:rRNA from 1 species
AACGGAGGGGGCGAGUGUUACUCAUCAUAACUGGGCGUAAAGGGCAAGUAGGCGGUUUAUUAUGUUUAAAUAAAAGUCUAAAGAACAACUUUAUAUAAUUAUUUUUAUACUGAUAAACUAGAGUAUAAUAGAAGUGUGUUGCACUUCCAGUGGAGAGGUAAAAUACGUAAAUAUUGUGAAAGACAUUCAAUAGGUGAAAACGACUAACUAUAUUAUUACUGACGCUGAGAGGCAAAGCAAUGGGGAUCAAACAGG